CUCACAGUGAAGCCAGUUCUACCAAAGCCUGAAAAAUUAGAAGAAAGAAGGAAGAGGAAAAAAAUUCCUGCAUCCUGCAUACUACAUCCACUUUAAGGA